rnacentral:rRNA from 1 species
GAUGAACGCUGGCGGCGUGCCUAAUACAUGCAAGUCGAGCGAACAGACGAGGAGCUUGCUCCUCUGACGUUAGCGGCGGACGGGUGAGUAACACGUGGAUAACCUACCUAUAAGACUGGGAUAACUUCGGGAAACCGGAGCUAAUACCGGAUAAUAUAUUGAACCGCAUGGUUCAAUAGUGAAAGACGGUUUUGCUGUCACUUAUAGAUGGAUCCGCGCCGCAUUAGCUAGUUGGUAAGGUAACGGCUUACCAAGGCAACGAUGCGUAGCCGACCUGAGAGGGUGGAUCGCCAACCUGGAACUGAGGAAAGGUUCCGACUCCCAAGGGAGGCAACAGUAAGGAAUCCUCCGGAAUGGGCGAAAGCCUGACGGAGCAACGGCGCGUGAGUGAAUAAGGGUCUCGGAUCGUUAAACCCUGUUAUUAGGGAAGAACAAAUGGGUAAGGAACUAUGCACGGCUUGAAGGUACCUUAUCAGAAAGCCACGGCUAACUAAGGG